UCAGAUAAAUGGUAAUGUAUAUACAUUGUUUACACAUAUAAUGAACAGAGAGAAUAUCAAAUGUGAUGAGUAGUGGAAUAGGGAUACCACCUCACUCUACGCCGCUGGGAGACUGACGGUACAUGUCCACCAGAUCAGGCCUGGAAACCAAGUUAUACCUUGAGGCAACACUCCUAAUGUAAAACGGACCACUUGGAAAGAGAUACAGUGUGACACCUGUGAAAGAUGGUUCCAUGAGCAGUGCCUGGGGAUGAAUCAGGACCAACUCCAAGAAGCCAGGGCAAGCAAUUGGAAUUGCUUUCUCUGCAACUAGGGCAGAAGAACAUGGCAGUGUCAUAUGUCUAUGGAAGAAAUGUUUUUUAGACCACAUUAAAGU